ACCACCACCACCACCACCGCCAGCAGCAGCAGUACAACCACCCCUUGCGCAUGAUCAUCUCCUGAAACACACGCAACAGUGUCCUACAAAAAAGAAAGAGCCCUCACCGCGAGUGAGAGAUCCCGGGUGGGUGCGCACCCCAGCCAAAGCGCCGUGUCAGGGAGAGCCAAGCCGGCCUGAGGCAGACGGAAGAAGCUCCUCCUCCCCUUGUGGCGUGAAGACGUUGUAGGUCUUUGGUGAGGGGGAGGGGGUCGCAGCGCUAUUCCCAAGUAACCAGCAAGAGGAGGAAAUGUCCACGCGUUCUGCUGCUGCGCGGCUUUCACCAAGCGGCAGUCUGGAUAUCCUGUUGCACCAUGCUGUCUCCCCACAGUGGUGAAGACCCAGUGAGCAGUGGCUGUGUCGGGCGCCCGACUGCAGGCGGCCCCCUCAAUGGUUUCUCCCACCAUGAAGGCACUGGUGGAUGCUGUGUGGGCGGUAUGGAGCAUCGGGGCCUCCAUCUAUGACUACAUCCACACUAGCGCCAUGGAGGAGCGCAUACACACACUGGAGAAGGUUACCAGCAUCCACCAGUGUGCCAUUGGGCUGCUCUCGGCGGCCAUCUUGGUGCUCUUCUCUUACAUCUUCGUCAAGAAGAUUUGAGAGUGAAGCAGACUGUGGGGAUUCAAAUUAUGUUGCAAGGCUGAACAACUCCUGCUGAUUAAAGAACAUGCAACCUGCACUUCUUCAAACCGCACUCAGAGGUGUCCAGUCUGCAGGAGCGUGUAUUUGGAGGUGAACCUCUCUACGCUUUCGCCCUCCAGAAACUUCAUGGCUCUCCAGUGGAUCUUGCCGCAAUUCUCUGGCCGCCCGAGGGGUCCCAUCUCCUCCUGGAUGUACUCCAGCCACAGAUCUUGACAAUCGCACAGGUCAACAUGGAAAAAGAAUACUCAGAUCAACCCAAAAUUAGAAACUAUAGUGGUACUUCAGCGUAUGAGCGCUUCCCGUUACAAGUUAGUUACGAGUGCCAACUAUGGUGAAAGCAAACUUCACAACAAACAGAAGUUUUGUUAUAAUGAACAAUUCUGCCAAAAAGAUGCAAUGUGCUUGCGUCAAGCUGCUUAUUGCCACUCACAGUUGAAUUUUACUGUCAAACUAAACAUAAAACAAAUAGAAUGACAAGUUGUGUAUUUAAUCAAAGCACAUUAACUUGUUUUAUAAAAGUUUGCUUAAUGCUAGCAUUCAAGGCAAAACGCCAUACUGGCUAAUGAAACUACCAUCACUGUUGUGGCACUUCUAAUACUUUAAACAACUUGUAUUUGACCGCAAGCAGACAGAUCGUGCACCAAUGGUCACAGGCACAUAUUCUUUAUCCUCUGAGGAAAAACAACUGAUUUCAUUGCACUUUAGUUGAGACUGUCUUCUGUUUCAAUCAACAUCAGGUACUGUAUGCCUGUUUUAUACUGCCCCCUGGUGGCCAAUAUGAACAAACCAAAAUGAGUAGCAUACUGCAUAUUGAUUUGACACGAUGCGCAUAUUCAUUAAAUUCUAUUCAUGGACAUCAUUACUAUGAUUUGACAGAGUAAAAUAGGAUACUCGACAAGAUAGCACACAACCCGUAAAAACGGUCAAAAAUCUCGACGCUUCUGCUGAUUCACACACUUGCCCCUCAUUACUUGGAGCUUCCUAUUUCGCCCCUUGUUUUGCGGGCUAUGCUCCACACUUUCAGUUCAAAAAGAGAAAAAAUAUUGGAAUAUGGCUCCAAAAAGAGAAAAAAUAUUGGAAUAUGGCUCCAACAAGUAUGCUUCCAUCUCUGUUGGAACAAUUUGGGGAAGGCCGUUUUGUGCUCCACUGAAUAAAUGAGUCCUUUCAGGGACAGCGGUUACUACAGUGGACACAUUAUCAUGUUAUCAGGUUACAGGUUAUUAUUAUUUGUGCAUGAAAAGGUUAAAUAGGUUUAAACAAAGGGUGUGGAAGCCAACAUAGCAGGGACCAACUCCUUGUUUUCUCACAUUUUCACUUUCUGUUUGUUUAAUAGCCACAUGUCCCAAUUCUUUUUUUUUUUUCAUCCUUCUCACCCCCCUGGUUUUCUUAUUUAUCUGUUUAAAUAACAAUUUUAAAUAACGUGAUAAUGACAUCUUGAAAAUAAAUGGUUGGACUGACAGUACAGCGCCUGACGGACUAUUUGACCCAAACGCAUCUCACCUUCAUCAGAGGAGCCGAACUCUUGCAGGACCCUCUCGUAGUAGUCCCUCAGAUUGUCCAUCUUUGGGAUCUCCUGCAUGAACGACACCAUGUUAACUCAAAUCUCAAAAUAAAACCUCUGCCUCUUUUUUUUCCCCUCCUAGCA